rnacentral:rRNA from 1 species
GCGGCGCGCUUAUGCAUGCAAGUCGAGCGAUGAGACUCCUACGGGAGCACAUCAGCGGCAGACGGGUGAGUAACACGUAGAUGACGUACCCUCAAGACGGGGAUAACGGAUGGAAACAUGCGCUAAUACCGGAUGACCUUACGAUGUCAGAAUGGUAAGGAAAGCUACGGCGCUUGAGGAGCGGUCUGCGGCCCAUCAGCUAGUUGGUAGGGUAAAGGCCUACCAAGGCGAAGACGGGUAGGGGGUGUGAGAGCACGGCCCCCCACAAUGGGACUGAGACACGGCCCAUACUCCUACGGGAGGCAGCAGCAGGGAAUAUUGCACAAUGGACGGAAGUCUGAUGCAGCGACGCCGCGUGAGUGAAGAAGGCCUUCGGGUUGUAAAACUCUUUUGAGGGGGAAGAGCGAUGACGGUACCCCUGGAAUAAGCGUCGGCUAACUACGUGCCAGCAGCCGCGGUAAGACGUAGGACGCGAGCGUCAUCCGGAUUUACUGGGCGUAAAGCGUCUGUAGGCGGAUGUGUAAGUUGGGCGUGAAAGCUCCGGGCUUAACCCGGAGAGGCCGUUCAAUACUGCAUAACUUGAGGGUGUCAGAGGGGAGCGGAAUUCCCGGUGUAGCGGUAAAAUGCGCAGAGAUCGGGAGGAACACCAGUGGCGGAGGCGGUUCCCUGGGGCACACCUGACGCUGAGAGACGAAAGCUAGGGGAGCGAACAGGAUUAGAGACCCUGGUAGUCCUAGCCCUAAACGAUGAAUGCUAGGUGUGGGAUCGAAUGGUUCCGUGCCGGAGCGAACGCGAUAAGCAUUCCGCCUGGGGAGUACGUCCGCAAGGUUAAAACUCAAACGAAUUGACGGGGCCCCGCACAAGCAGCGGAGCGUGUGGUUUAAUUCGAUGCUACACGAAGAACC